rnacentral:lncRNA from 1 species
AUGAGCUUUCACCGAGGGCUUCUGCAGUCCCCACUAACGCUUACUCCGGCAGACGGAGCUGCCCAAAGCCCAUGGUGGAGCCAUCACCAACCCACCUCCAUCCCUGUGCCACCAUAUGCCUGCCCCAGACACUGGAGCUACUGCUGUCAUGACGAUGCCCAGGCCACAGACCCCCGCAUGGCCAACACUGCUCACGUCCAUGGUUCAGAACCCAGCACCACCCCUACCGCGAGGCAGCCUCCAUCCCAGCUCUUCAUGUGUUCCCGGAGCCCAAACCAGUCACCUCGCAUGCUCGCUCCCGCCAUGGUCUCCUCUCCUCGGCGGUCACCCCCAGUCUCACCCCUGCUCAGCCCGCCCGUCGCCUCAUUCUCUGACCCGCACAGCGCGUCUCCUCCGCCCGCACUUCACCUCGGCCGCAGUCCCUCACGCCACGUCUCUGCCCCGAACCUCCUGUCAUGUUACUUCUCGCCUCCUCCGCCAGCCCCGACACUUCCGUCCGGCCUCCUCAGCCGGCCAGCAGCAGUCCUGUCCAGUCCUGUCCCCUCUGCCUGUCACACACGUCACUUCCUGUGUCCUGGGCCCACCACGUCACAUCCCUCCUGGUCUCCUCAGCCCGCCUCGUCCCGUCCGCCUGCAUAUGCAGUAUCUCAACGCCUCCCUGACUCGGCACCGUGUACGCAGUCGGAAGCUGCAGACACAGGACGUGCGACACCCACAUGGCCUCACCUGGAGGAGCAGCCUCACGUCAGGAUGUCCGUCCUUGUGCGCGAGAACACGCGUCACAUGCCGCAGGCUCACUCCCUGCACAGCACCGCAAGGUCUCCAGGACCCCGCACGCCUGCGUCCCGGGCCCCGUGCGAAGGCCGCACCCGGCCCCAGUCGGGCGGCGGUGCUGGACUUGGUUCCAGGGCCCCGGGAGCCCCAGGGCCCACUCCGGCCGGGGCCUCCACAGCAGCCCUCAAACGGCGGGAAAGGCCACGUGGGCAGAGGCCACGCCCCUCGUGCGUCAUCGGCGCAGGCCCCGCCCAGCCACGCCUCAGCGCCGCGGUCCCUCAGGCGGCCGAGGCCGCGCGCACCGACUGCACAGGGACGCCUCAGCCUGCCUUCACCCUGGAGGACGUCGGCGGCUGGAGCCCUUGA